rnacentral:tRNA from 1 species
GGCACAAUGGCUAAGCGCUUGGCUGCUAACUGAAAGGUUGGUGGUUCAAACCCACCCAGUGCCU